rnacentral:rRNA from 1 species
UACGUAGGGGGGCUAGCGUUGUCCGGAAUCAUUGGGCGUAAAGAGCGUGUAGGCGGCCCGGUAAGUCCGCUGUGAAAGUCGGGGGCUCAACCCUCGGAUGCCGGUGGAUACUGUCGGGCUCGAGUACGGAAGAGGCGAGUGGAAUUCCUGGUGUAGCGGUGAAAUGCGCAGAUAUCAGGAGGAACACCUAUUGCGAAGGCAGCUCGCUGGGACGUUACUGACGCUGAGACGCGAAAGCGUGGGAGCAAACAGG